rnacentral:rRNA from 1 species
AUCUACGACCAUACCACCCUGAAUGAACGCCCUGAUCUUGUCUGAUCUUGGAAGGGUCUUGUCUGAUCAGGCAGGGUCUGGCCUGGUCAGUACUUGGAUGGGAGACACCAUUAUGGAUGGCAAGAGCUGCCUAUC